AUUCCAGUCUGGCUUAUUUAAGGAGGACUUUGAGGAGUGAUGCUUUUGGAAACAGAAAAGGACAAACACUGUAAUGUCUGAACGAGGAAGAGGAAGAGCAAGGGGUCCAGGGAGAAGACCAGGUCCAGGGAGAGGUGCAGGUGCAGUAAGAGGAGCAGUGAGAGAUGUAGAAGGAGGUGCAGUGAGAGGAGCAGGUGCAGGAAGAGGAGCAGUGAGAGGUGCAGUAGGAGGUGCAGUGAGAGGAAGAGUAAGGCGUGCAGAUGUAGAAGGAGGUGCAGUGAGAGUUGCAGGUGCAGGAAGAGGAGUUCUUCUUCUUCUGACCAUCAGCCACAUGACCCGAUGUCCCUCCUUGAAGCCAUGGAUGCUGGCUGCAGGGACAUCACAGUUCACGAUGGCCACGGGUGGAUCCGACAUGCCAAGCGGUUUGAUCCCAGGUGCAUCGCCUUAGAUGAUGUCAGAUGUGAUGUUGACGAAAACAUGUGGCCGAACCCUGAAGAUCGCAGAGAUUAGAUGCAUACAUUGUUUGCCAUUUUUAGUUCCCCCCUUGUCAUCUGGGCUUUUGGCUGUUGUUUUUUUCAGAAUGCUCGUGUGUUUCAUGGAUAUUUUGUUAAAAUAAACCUUUUCUGUUCUAUUAUACUGUUUCUACUGUACCGUCUUUGGUAAACAGUUAAGAAAAAAUAACCAAUUUGCUUUUUACUGGAAUGCGUUUGAGUGUGAACAUUACUGCACAUGUGCGCAUACAGUUCCAAACCAAUACAUUUAGUGUAAAUGGUGCAUUGCAUGCUACCUGAAACAUAAGUCUAUGCAAUGUUUAUAAUGUCAACAAUAGCCAGAAUUCUGAAACCUGGUGUACUUCGUUUGACUGCAUGUACCUUGUGAAGUGAAAACAAAUGUUAUGACAGAAUAAUUUCAUUUUGAGUCAGAUUUCCAGUGUUUUGGUAAAGUUAGUGUGUGCAGAGAAAGAAAUUAAGAGUUAGUAUAUAUUUAACAAAAUGUGUUUUUGAGAAGAAAAUUGUGUGUGCCAAUUGUGUCUUGUAGGUGUGAGUCUGUGUUAAGAGUUUAGAAAAAUCUCAGUUUCCAACAAAAAGAAACAAAAGUCUUUCUUUGUCUAGUCGGUUUAUUUAUUUUCUGACAAAUAAAACGUAACACAUAUUUAUAUAAAACACAUCACAAAUAUCUCAAACUUUUAACAGUGUUUAUGUGUGCGUACAGAAAAACAAGUUUUGUGUGUGUGUGUGUGUGCGUGUGUGCGUGAGUGUGUAGGCUCGUUGUUUGUGGGGGUUUUGGGGUUUAUGUGUGCAUGGACAAGAAAUGAGUUAAACAGAACAGUGUAACAACACACGCUUUAACAAUUAUCUGGGUCAGUCUUAACAGCAACAUGAACCCCCACCUCAGCAGAAUGAGGCUUCCCAUCAAGUUAUUUAUUCUCUAAAAUGAGCCUUGCUCGAUUUCGCCGACCACGAGUGAGGUCUCCUGUUAUGCUAAAAACCCGCUCAGCAAAUGCUUGGGAUGCUGGCGUUGCCAGAAGGUCAAAAGCAAAGGGUUUCUGGGACUUUUGUAGCUCUUGCCUGACAGAGGACUUUGGUCUUAAUGGCCGACUUGUACUUUGAAGAUGGGGAUGUCUCUGGUGCCUCCCUUCCCUCUUCCUCCUCCUCAUAAGCGUCAUCCUCCUCCUGUGGUCAUAUUGUUUGAGAAAUGUAAUCUUCCCCAGCGCUCUGGGGGAAGCGGGACAGGUGAGCACUCAGGUCCAAGAGGGCGGGCACCACCAGGGAUAAGGACAUGGUGUCGCUCUGUAGCAUCCUAGUAUGCUCUGCAAAGGGGAGGAGCAGGUCUCUGACAGCAGCCAGCUUCUGCCACUCACUGGGCAGGAGACAGUCCCAGUCCAUCCCAUCAGCCACCUGGACAAUUGAGUCCUUCACUUCAAGAAGGCAGGAGACCAUCUGAUAUGAGCUGGACCAUCUAGUGACCAGUCUUUGACCAGAGUAAGUCCACACAGCUGGAGCAGUCGCUCAGUUGCUACAAAACCCUUUUAAUUGUACCACCUUCUCUCUUCCUUCACUGUUCCCUGUCCACAGAAAUAGGCGUAGCUUGGUUUCCAUCAUGUCAGAUGAUAUUUCUUUGGACUUUCUUUAACACUGAAGCUGAUUACAAAAACAAUUGUAAGCAAGCUAACCUUUUUAUUGUAAUUGGAACAUGGUUAUAAUCAAUAAAUGUGUUUAUUUAUUUCAGUGUUCCAGAAAAGAGUCCUGAACCUACAGGUGGAUAUCCGCAAUCGCCUGAAGGAAACACAGCCUGCCUCUUCAGCUGUCCAUAUUGAGAGGAUUGACACCAUGGAGGAGUUUGAGGAGCAACGCCUCUCUGACGCACAGACCUUUGAUACCCUAGUAGGUUUUACAAGUCUCAAAGUAAUGGAUACCCUAAAAUAAAAUAAAACAGUGCACUCACACACUGUUAAGAUUCCUCUGUGGAGUGUCAGUCAACUAUAUUAUGCACUUAUUUCAACAGGUGCUGCAAAUUUCCAGAAUUGGUGGGCGGAACACCAAGGACUGUGCCCACAAAGUGUUGGACAGGUAUCUGCAUGAGCAUGUCAGAAUAGGUCACGUUAAUACAGUUGUGCCCAUUAGUUUACACACCCAUGCUAAUCCGCCUGCCUCUAUGUUAAACUUUGCGUGCUGUGGCGAGUCUGUCUUUAAAUGUCUGCCUUUCGGCAUCGUAAAGUUUAUCAACUACAUUUGUUAUUUUAGCUUUCAUUCAUAAAGAAAAUUGGGGUCCUUAAAAGUUGGAUUUGUCCUAUUUUUUUGAUCAAGAUCAAUUUCCAAAAGAAGACUAGGGGACACUGAUCAACUAGUGUAAAGGAUUUAUUGCAUUUGUAAUGUGUUCACAUUCAUUUAUUGAAAUGUAUUUUUCUUUAGGCUCUUCACCAACAGCCUCACGGCCAAAUUUAAUUUAAGGGCAAGAGGAAAAUGGGGAAACGUCCUUUAGAGGGAACAAAGCUUUAUAGAGCAAUACAAGAAGGGCUCAUGAAAUUCGAUCCCACAGCCACCGAGGAGAAGAUCAAAGUGAACGUGUCCGAGCACCUGAAGCCGCGCCGCAAAGACGUGGAGGAUUUACAACGCCCCGAUAAGCCAGCCCCCUCACUCCAUGCAGGAAGACGGUCCUAAAUGAUAUCGGCUUCCACCUCACCAGUGAUGUGGCGACAGAGGCGUGGACAUUUAGUCAAGAUUGUGUUUCCCUUUUUUUUAUAACACUGGGAGCUACAUGAGCCAUCCAUAUAUAUAUAUAUAUAUAUAUAUAUAUAUAUAUAUAUAUAUAUAUAUAUAUAUAUACAUAUAUAUUUAUAUAUAUAUAUAUAUAUAUAC
ensembl:lncRNA